UUUGCCUACGGGACGCAGCAGUAGGGAAUAUUGCACAAUGGGGGAAACCCUGAUGCAGCGACGCCGCGUGAAGGAUGAAGUAUUUCGGUAUGUAAACUUCUAUCAGCAAGGAAGAAAAUGACGGUACUUGACUAAGAAGCCCCGGCUAAAUACGUGCCAGCAGCCGCGGUAAUACGUAUGGGGCAAGCGUUAUCCGGAUUUACUGGGGGUAAAGGGAGCGUAGGCGGGACGGCAAGUCAGAAGUGAAAGCCUG
rnacentral:rRNA from 1 species